rnacentral:rRNA from 1 species
GGUUACUGCUAUCGGUGUUCGUCUAAGCCAUGCGAGUCAUAUGUUCGUAAGAACAUGGCGUACUGCUCAGUAACACGUGGAUAACCUGCCCUUGGGUCCGGCAUAACCCCGGGAAACUGGGGAUAAUUCCGGAUAACGCACAUAUGCUGGAAUGCUUUAUGCGUAAAAUGGAUUCGUCUGCCCAAGGAUGGGUCUGCGGCCUAUCAGGUAGUAGUGGGUGUAAUGUACCUACUAGCCUACGACGGGUACGGGUUGUGAGAGCAAGAGCCCGGAGAUGGAUUCUGAGACAUGAAUCCAGGCCCUACGGGGCGCAGCAGGCGCGAAAACUUUACAAUGCGGGAAACCGUGAUAAGGGGACACCGAGUGCCAGCAUCCUAUGCUGGCUGUCCGGGUGUGUAAAAUACACCUGUUAGCAAGGGCCGGGCAAGACCGGUGCCAGCCGCCGCGGUAACACCGGCGGCCCGAGUGGUGAUCGUGAUUAUUGGGUCUAAAGGGUCCGUAGCCGGUUUGGUCAGUCCUCCGGGAAAUCUGACAGCUUAACUGUUAGGCUUUCGGAGGAUACUGCCAGACUUGGAACCGGGAGAGGUAAGAGGUACUACAGGGGUAGGAGUGAAAUCUUGUAAUCCCUGUGGGACCACCUGUGGCGAGGGCGUCUUACCAGAACGGGUUCGACGGUGAGGGACGAAAGCUGGGGGCACGAACCGGAUUAGAUACCCGGGUAGUCCCAGCCGUAAACGAUGCUCGCUAGGUGUCAGGCAUGGCGCGACCGUGUCUGGUGCCGCAGGGAAGCCGUGAAGCGAGCCACCUGGGAAGUACGGCCGCAAGGCUGAAACUUAA